rnacentral:rRNA from 1 species
CCUACGGGAGGCUGCAGUGGGGAAUAUUGGACAAUGGGCGCAAGCCUGAUCCAGCCAUGCCGCGUGAGUGAUGAAGGCCUUAGGGUUGUAAAGCUCUUUCGCCGGGGAAGAUAAUGACGGUACCCGGAGAAGAAGCCUCGGCUAACUCCGUGCCAGCAGCCGCGGUAAGACGGAGGAGGCUAGCGUUGUUCGGAAUUACUGGGCGUAAAGCGUACGCAGGUGGCGGUUCAAGUCGGAUGUGAAAGCCCGGGGCUCAACCCCGGAUGUGCAUCCGA